rnacentral:rRNA from 1 species
UGAGGAAUUUUGCGCAAUGGGGGAAACCCUGACGCAGCGACGCCGCGUGGAGGACGAAGGCCUUCGGGUCGUAAACUCCUGUCAGAGGUGAAGAAACCCGCAAGGGUUGACGGUAACCUCAAAGGAAGCCCCGGCUAACUACGUGCCAGCAGCCGCGGUAAUACGUAGGGGGCAAACGUUGCUCGGAAUUACUGGGCGUAAAGGGUGCGUAGGCGGCUGGGCAAGUCAAGGAUGAAAUCCCGUGGCUUAACUGCGGAACUGUCCUUGAAACUGCCUAGCUUGAGGAUAGUCGAAGAAAACGGAAUUCCCGGUGGAGCGGUGAAAUGCGUAGAUAUCGGGAGGAACACCAGAGGCGAAAGCGGUUUUCUAUACUACUCCUGACGCUGAGGCACGAAAGCUAGGGGAGCAAACGGG